rnacentral:rRNA from 1 species
AUUGAACGCUGGCGGCAGGCCUAACACAUGCAAGUCGAACGGUAACAGGAAGAAGCUUGCUUCUUUGCUGACGAGUGGCGGACGGGUGAGUAAUGUCUGGGAAACUGCCUGAUGGAGGGGGAUAACUACUGGAAACGGUAGCUAAUACCGCAUAACGUCGCAAGACCAAAGAGGGGGACCUUCGGGCCUCUUGCCAUCGGAUGUGCCCAGAUGGGAUUAGCUAGUAGGUGGGGUAACGGCUCACCUAGGCGACGAUCCCUAGCUGGUCUGAGAGGAUGACCAGCCACACUGGAACUGAGACACGGUCCAGACUCCUACGGGAGGCAGCAGUGGGGAAUAUUGCACAAUGGGCGCAAGCCUGAUGCAGCCAUGCCGCGUGUAUGAAGAAGGCCUUCGGGUUGUAAAGUACUUUCAGCGGGGAGGAAGGGAGUAAAGUUAAUACCUUGGCUCAUUGACGUUACCCGCAGAAGAGGCACCGGCUAACUCCGUG